GAUUAUGGCUCAGGAUGAACGCUAGCUACAGGCUUAACACAUGCAAGUCGAGGGGAAACGACAUCGAAAGCUUGCUUUUGAUGGGCGUCGACCGGCGCACGGGUGAGUAACGCGUAUCCAACCUGCCCAUCACUUGGGAAUAACCUUGCGAAAGUAAGACUAAUACCCAAUGAUAUCCCACGAAGGCAUCCGAAUGGGAUUAAAGAUUUAUCGGUGUACGAUGGGGAUGCGUUCCAUUAGGUAGUAGGG
rnacentral:rRNA from 1 species